rnacentral:rRNA from 1 species
GCCUAACACAUGCAAGUCGAGCGGCAGCAUGCUUAGUAGCAAUACUAAGUGAUGGCGAGCGGCGGACGGGUGAGGAACACGUAGGAACCUGCCCAAGAGAGGGGGAUAACUAAGGGAAACUUUAGCUAAUACCGCAUAAUCUCUGAGGAGAAAAGUUGCCCGCAAGGGUAGCGCUUUUGGAGGGGCCUGCGUCCGAUUAGUUAGUUGGUCGGGUAAUGGCUCACCAAGACGAGGAUCGGUAACUGGUCUGAGAGGGCGACCAGUCACACUGGGACUGAGACACGGCCCAGACUCCUACGGGAGGCAGCAGUAGGGAAUCUUGGACAAUGGGGGAAACCCUGAUCCAGCGAUGCCGCGUGGGUGAAGAAGGCCUUCGGGUUGUAAAGCCCUUUAGGCUGGGAAGAAGAGUGCGGGGUGAAUAAUCCUGUACUUUGACGGUACCAGCAGAAUAAGCACCGGCAAACUCUGUGCCAGCCGCCGCCGUAA